GGAGAUGUGAGCGAGUGGCUAAGCACUUCGCCUCGAAAGCGAAGAACCCGGUGAGUAGCCGGGCCGUGGGUUCGAGUCCCACCGUCUCCGUCA
rnacentral:tRNA from 1 species